GACUCUGGGAUAAGCGUUGGAAACGACGUCUAAUACCGGAUACGAGCUGGGACCGCAUGGUCACCAGCUGGAAAGAACUUUGGUCAGGGAUGAGCUCGCGGCCUAUCAGCUUGUUGGUGAGGUAAUGGCUCACCAAGGCGACGACGGGUAGCCGGCCUGAGAGGGUGACCGGCCACACUGGGACUGAGACACGGCCCAGACUCCUACGGGAGGCAGCAGUGGGGAAUAUUGCACAAUGGGCGCAAGCCUGAUGCAGCAACGCCGCGUGAGGGACGAAGGCCUUCGGGUUGUAAACCUCUUUUAGCAGGGAAGAAGCGAAAGUGACGGUACCUGCAGAAAAAGCGCCG
rnacentral:rRNA from 1 species